rnacentral:rRNA from 1 species
AACGAACGCUGGCGGCAGGCUUAACACAUGCAAGUCGAACGCAUCCUUCGGGGUGAGUGGCAGACGGGUGAGUAACGCGUGGGAACGUGCCCUUCAGUUCGGGAUAACCCAGGGAAACUUGGGCUAAUACCGGAUACGUGCGAGAGCAGAAAGAUUUAUCGCUGAAGGAUCGGCCGGCGUCUGAUUAGCUAGUUGGUGGGGUAAUGGCCCACCAAGGCGACGAUCAGUAGCUGGUCUGAGAGGAUGAUCAGCCACAUUGGGACUGAGACACGGCCCAGACUCCUACGGGAGGCAGCAGUGGGGAAUAUUGGACAAUGGGCGCAAGCCUGAUCCAGCCAUGCCGCGUGAGUGAUGAAGGCCUUAGGGUUGUAAAGCUCUUUCGUCCGGGACGAUAAUGACGGUACCGGAAGAAGAAGCCCCGGCUAACUACGUGCCAGCAGCCGCCGUAA